rnacentral:lncRNA from 1 species
AUUGCGCUUGGCUUCUUUCGACAGUAGUGGAAAACUCAUAUGCAGUAGAGCGACUGGCUACCAAAUCCUGACGCUUGAGAAAGACCAGGAGCAAGUGGUGAUGAACUUGGACAGCAGACUGCUGAUCUUCCCUCUAUACAUCUGCUGUAACUUCUUGUAUAUAUCACCAGAAAAAAGAACUGAGAGUAAUCGUCACCCAGAAAACCCAGGACACUGAGGCACGCAUCGGUGGCCAGCUUUAACUUAAUGACCUACUGCGUUCACGUCCAAGAAUUCCUCGGCUGUGAGUGUCUUCUCCCUCCUAGAAUUGCCAUAUGGAGAUUUCUAAAGCAAUGAUUGGGCCAGUAAGAGGCUACGUUUCUGCAGUGCCCCUAGCUAUGAUUAUCUCUCCAGCUGCUAUUGUUUUCUUUCAGAAAUAAGAGAUCUUUACUCUUCAUAUAUUAAAAAACAAAAAACAGAUACAGCACACAUCUGUAAUCCCAGCACUCAAAAGGCUGAGGCAGGAGAAUCACAAGACUGUGGAAGCCUGGGCUGCAUUGCAAGGCCCUGCUUUAAAACAUCAUCGUCAAAAAACAAAAUAUUAUACUCAAAUAUAUUUUUACAAAUCUUAGAAAUUAAAGUGUGAACAUAUCAAUAACAAAGAGAA